rnacentral:rRNA from 1 species
UACAGAGGGGCAAGCGUUAUUCGGAAUUAUUGGGCGUAAAGGGCGCGUAGGCGGUCCUUCAAGUCUCUCGUGAAAUCCCUCGGCUUAACUGAGGACGUGCGGGAGAUACUGCUGGGCUUGAGUCCGGAAGAGGGUGGUGGAAUUCCCAGUGUAGCGGUGAAAUGCGUAGAUAUUGGGAGGAACACCGGUGGCGAAGGCGGCCACCUGGGCCGGAACUGACGCUGAGGCGCGAAAGCGUGGGGAGCAAACGGG